rnacentral:rRNA from 1 species
GAUGAACGCUGGCUACAGGCUUAACACAUGCAAGUCGAGGGGAAACGACGGGGAAGCUUGCUUCCCCGGGCGUCGACCGGCGCACGGGUGAGUAACGCGUAUCCAACCUGCCUCUGACUGAGGGAUAACCCGUCGAAAGUCGGCCUAAUACCUCAUGGCAUCGUCUGCGGGCAUCCAACGACGAUUAAAGAUUUCAUCGGUCAGGGAUGGGGAUGCGUCUGAUUAGCUUGUUGGCGGGGUAACGGCCCACCAAGGCUACGAACAGUAGGGGUUCUGAGAGGCAGGCCCCCCACAUUGGAACUGAGGCACAGUCCACACUCCUACGGGAGGCAGCAGUGAGGAAUAUUGGGCAAUGGGCGGGAGCCUGAACCAGCCAAGUAGCGUGCAGGAGGACGGCCCUAUGGGUUGUAAACUGCUUUUAUGCGGGGAUAAAGUGAGGGACGUGUCCUCCAUUGAAGGUACCGCAUGAGAAAGGACCGGCUAAUUCCGUG